GAGUACAUUGUUCGCGUACUGGAUCUACCUAUUCUACCCAUGAUGCGACUGAGCCAGCAUCGCCGUCACAUGUUGUAUCGCAGGUGUCUGAUCCCUCAGUCGCACAUACACCGGGCACUGCAUAGGGAGGAGCAGGAGAGGAGGAUGGAGGAUCUGACGAGGCAGAGGGAAGAACAGGAGAGGAGGAGGAUGGAGGAGCAGGCGAGGGGGAGAGAGGAGUAGGAGAGGAGGAUGGAGGAGAUGUGGGUAGAGCAUGAGUGAUGGAUGACGGAGAUGUUUCAGGCUCUCGUUGCACGCUUACCCACUGAUGCUUCACCACUACCGCCUUCAUCUUUGUGAUUUUUUGUAUUUUAUUUAUGAUGUUAAACUUAUAUAUAUUUAUGUGUGAAUGAAUGUCAUGUUGAUGGAUGUAGUUUAUAUUUAGAUGGAUUUAUGUACUUUGGGUUUAAAUG